rnacentral:rRNA from 1 species
GCCCGAAGCCGAUUAUCUAACCUUUUGGAAGAAGUCGUCGAAGGUGGAAUUAAUAACUGGGGUGAAGUCGUAACAAGGUAGCCGUAUCGGAAGGUGCGGCUGGAUCACCUCCUUUCUAAGGAGA